CCUACGGGAGGCAGCAGUGGGGAAUAUUGCACAAUGGAGGAAACUCUGAUGCAGCGACGCCGCGUGAGUGAAGAAGUAAUUCGUUAUGUAAAGCUCUAUCAGCAGGGAAGAUAGUGACGGUACCUGACUAAGAAGCUCCGGCUAAAUACGUGCCAGCAGC
rnacentral:rRNA from 1 species